rnacentral:rRNA from 1 species
AGUGAACGCUGGCGGUAGGCCUAACACAUGCCAGUCGAACGGCAGCACAGUAAGAGCUUGCUCUUACGGGUGGCGAGUGGCGGACGGGUGAGGAAUACAUCGGAAUCUACUUUUUCGUGGGGGAUAACGUAGGGAAACUUACGCUAAUACCGCAUACGACCUACGGGUGAAAGCAGGGGAUCUUCGGACCUUGCGCGAUUGAAUGAGCCGAUGUUGGAUUAGCUAGUUGGCGGGGUAAAGGCCCACCAAGGCGACGAUCCGUAGCUGGUCUGAGAGGAUGAUCAGCCACACUGGAACUGAGACACGGUCCAGACUCCUACGGGGGGCAGCAGUGGGGAAUAUUGGACAAUGGGCGCAAGCCUGAUCCAGCCAUACCGCGUGGGUGAAGAAGGCCUUCGGGUUGUAAAGCCCUUUUGUUGGGAAAGAAAAGCAGCAGGUUAAUACCCCGCUGUUCUGACGGUACCCAAAGAAUAAGCACCGGCUAACUUCGG